CCAAUAGCGUAUAUUAAAGUUGCUGCAGUUAAAAAGCUCGUAGUUGAAUUUCGGGACUAAUAUGUCGGUCGUGCCUCGGUACGUACUGGUAUUUUUGGUUUCUCCCUUCUGACGAACCUUGAUGUCAUUAAUUUGGUGUCUUGGGAAAUCAGGACUGUUACUUUGAAAAAAUUAGAGUGUUUAAAGCAGGCUCACGCUUGAAUACAUUAGCAUGGAAUAAUGAAAUAGGACGUUUGAUUCUAUUUUGUUGGUUUCUAGGAUAGACGUAAUGAUUAAUAGGGAUAGUUGGGGGCAUUAGUAUUCAAUUGUCAGAGGUGAAAUUCUUGGAUUUAUUGAAGACUAACUACUGCGAAAGCAUUUGCCAAGGAUGUUUUCAUUAAUCAAGAACGAAAGUUAGGGGAUCGAAGACGAUCAGAUACCGUCGUAGUCUUAACCAUAAACUAUGCCGACUAGGGAUCGGAUGAUGUUAAUUUUUUAAUGACUCAUUCGGCGCCUUACG
rnacentral:misc_RNA from 1 species